rnacentral:rRNA from 1 species
UACGAAGGGGACUAGCGUUGUUCGGAAUUACUGGGCGUAAAGCGCACGUAGGCGGAUUUGUUAGUCAGGGGUGAAAUCCCGGGGCUCAACCUCGGAACUGCCUUUGAUACUGCAAGUCUCGAGUCCGAUAGAGGUGGGUGGAAUUCCUAGUGUAGAGGUGAAAUUCGUAGAUAUUAGGAAGAACACCGGUGGCGAAGGCGGCCCACUGGAUCGGUACUGACGCUGAGGUGCGAAAGC